AGGAGCUGAGGUUUUAAGAAAACCAUAAAAUGUCACAAGAAUUUGGAUAAAAUCAUGAAUUGACAACACGGAAAACGCACAAUGGCAACUGAAAGAAGACACAGAUCUGUUCCAAACACCUGUUGCUGUGCAUGGAAAUGUUGGGCCAAGACAGAGGUGAAUAUGGCACUGACUCUCCAAGGCCAGGUGAUGCACAUCAGGGCCUGUUACCAUGGAAACGUCUACAGGGCCCACUGCACUGCAGGAGGACAAGUCCUGAAGGAAAUGGGCUGCUGCCAUCUAGUGUUAUUCAGGCACCCACUUGGUUGUCUGUCCCUUGAGCCCUUCCCGCAAGCCCCUUCCACCACCCAACACACACACAUCCCCUCAAAUCUCCCCCACGCCCUGUAAAAGCGAAGCUUUCCCUGCAGCAUUCCCUUCACUAGGCUGAAGGGUUAAUAUACAUUCCGGUGAGUGGCAUGCAGAUUACCCUGCCUUAUUGACACUCUCUGGCCUUGCACUGAGAGGUAUUGUACUAGAUAAUAAACUACACAGCUGCAGUAGAAUUGUUUCCUCGGCUUGUUACGCUCAGAUCAGACUCUUGUAUCUUUCUGCAAAUUCUUAAUUGUCAGUGGUCCAAAUCCUGAAGUAUUUAGGAUUUAUUUGUGUAAAACUCCCAGGUAAGUCAAUGGUAAGGACUGUAAGACUUGGCCCAAUAUAUUUUGUCUAAACUGAUCAUCCUUUUUUAAGGUGGAUUUCAGGCUCUGAGGGCCCUUGAGAGCCACUAAAGAGCCUGCAAACUUCUUAAAGUGUGUGGGGAAUGGGCUCUCGUCUACAGAUUUCCUGUGGUGGAUGAAACAGAGUAUUGGGCUUACAUCUAGCCAAAUAGCUCCAGAGAAUGAAAUGUAUGCACAUUAUCAAGGUUUUGCAAGCCAAUUUUAAAUCUUGGAGAAUGGAUAUCCUUCUUAUGUUUCAUGCCUCAACAGUGUUUUUAACUACACCUAGUAAAUUCCAUACAAAA